CUACGGGCGGCAGCAGUGGGGAAUAUUGGACAAUGGGGGAAACCCUGAUCCAGCAAUGCCGCGUGUGUGAAGAAGGCCUGCGGGUUGUAAAGCACUUUCGGUUGGGAGGACUGCUUCUAGCACUAAUAUUGUUGGAAGUUGACGUUACCUUCAGAAGAAGCACCGGCUAACUCCGUGCCAGCAGCCGCGGUAAUCCGGAGGGUGCAAGCGUUAAUCGGAAUUACUGGGCGUAAAGCGCGCGUAGGCGGUUAGAUCAGUCGGGUGUGAAAGCCCCGGGCUUAACCUGGGAACUGCAUCCGAUACUGUCUAGCUUGAGUACAGGAGAGGAGAGUGGAAUUCCACAUGUAGCGGUGAAAUGCGUAGAUAUGUGGAGGAACACCAAUGGCGAAGGCAGCUCUCUGGCCUGAUACUGACGCUGAGGUGCGAAAGCGUGGGGAGCAAACAGGAUUAGAUACCCCUGUAGUC
rnacentral:rRNA from 1 species